AGUGAACGCUGGCGGUAGGCCUAACACAUGCAAGUCGAACGGCAGCACAGGAGAGCUUGCUCUCUGGGUGGCGAGUGGCGGACGGGUGAGGAAUACAUCGGAAUCUACUUUUUCGUGGGGGAUAACGUAGGGAAACUUACGCUAAUACCGCAUACGACCUACGGGUGAAAGCAGGGGAUCUUCGGACCUUGCGCGAUUGAAUGAGCCGAUGUCGGAUUAGCUAGUUGGCGGGGUAAAGGCCCACCAAGGCGACGAUCCGUAGCUGGUCUGAGAGGAUGAUCAGCCACCCUGGAACUUAGACACGGUCCAGACUCCUACGGGAGGCAGCAGUGGGGAAUAUUUGACAAUGGGCGCAAGCCUGAUCCAGCCAUACCGCGUGGGUGAAGAAGGCCUUCGGGUUGUAAAGCCCUUUUGUUGGGAAAGAAAUCCAUCUGGUUAAUACCCGGGUGGGAUGACGGUACCCAAAGAAUAAGCACCGGCUAACUUCGUGCCAGCCGCCGCGGUAA
rnacentral:rRNA from 1 species